rnacentral:tRNA from 1 species
UAGGGGCUUAGGAUAAACUAGACCAAGGGCCUUCAAAGCCC